UACGUAGGGUGCGAGCGUUAAUCGGAAUUACUGGGCGUAAAGCGUGCGCAGGCGGUUUCGUAAGCCAGAUGUGAAAUCCCCGGGCUUAACCUGGGAAUUGCAUUGAGGACUGGUGUGCUCGAGUGCGGCAGAGGGGGGUGGAAUUCCACGUGUAGCAGUGAAAUGCGUAGAGAUGUGGAGGAACACCGAUGGCGAAGGCAGCCCCCUGGGCCGACACUGACGCUCAUGCACGAAAGCGUGGGGAGCAAACAGG
rnacentral:rRNA from 1 species